AUUGAACGCUGGCGGCAGGCCUAACACAUGCAAGUCGAACGAGUGGCGGACGGGUGAGUAAUGUCUGGGACACUGCCCGAUGGAUGGGGCUAACUAAUGGAAACGGUAGCUAAUACCGCCUACCAUCGGAUGUGCCCAGAUGGGAUUAGCUAGUAGGUGGGGUACCGGCUCACCUAGGCGACGAUCCCUAGCUGGUCUGAUAGGAUGCCCAGCCAAACUGGAACUGAGACACGGGCCAGACGCCUAGGGGAGGCAGCAGUGGGGAAUAGUGCACAAUGGGCGCAAGCCUGAGGCAGCCAUGCCGCGUGUAGGAAGAAGGCCGUCGGGUGGUAAAGUACUUUCAGCGAGGAGGCGUUACUCGCAGAAGAAGCACCGGCUAACUCCGUGCCGGCAGCCGCGGUAAUUC
rnacentral:rRNA from 1 species